rnacentral:rRNA from 1 species
GAUGAACGCUGGCGGCGUGCCUAAUACAUGCAAGUCGAGCGAACAGACGAGGAGCUUGCUCCUCUGACGUUAGCGGCGGACGGGUGAGUAACACGUGGAUAACCUACCUAUAAGACUGGGAUAACUUCGGGAAACCGGAGCUAAUACCGGAUAAUAUAUUGAACCGCAUGGUUCAAUAGUGAAAGACGGUUUUGCUGUCACUUAUAGAUGGAUCCGCGCUGCAUUAGCUAGUUGGUAAGGUAACGGCUUACCAAGGCAACGAUGCGUAGCCGACCUGAGAGGGUGAUCGGCCACACUGGAACUGAGACACGGUCCAGACUCCUACGGGAGGCAGCAGUAGGGAAUCUUCCGCAAUGGGCGAAAGCUUGACAGAGCAACGCCGCGUGAGUGAUGAAGGUCUUCGGAUCGUAAAACUCUGUUAUUAGGGAAGAACAAAUGUGUAAGUAACUAUGCACGUCUUGACGGUACCUAAUCAGAAAGCCACGGCUAACUACGUG